UACGUAGGGUGCAAGCGUUAAUCGGAAUUACUGGGCGUAAAGCGUGCGCAGGCGGUUGUGCAAGACAGAUGUGAAAUCCCCAGGCUCAACCUGGGAACUGCGUCCGAUACUGGAUGGCUUGAAUCCGGGAGAGGGAUGCAGAAUUCCAGGUGUAGCGGUGAAAUGCGUAGAUAUCUGGAGGAAUACCGGUGGCGAAGGCGCAUCCUGGACCGGCAUUGACGCUGAGGAGCGAAAGCCAGGGGAGCAAACGGGG
rnacentral:rRNA from 1 species